CGAUGUGAGCUUAGCGGUAGCGUAGGUACGCGGCCGCGCUCCGCCCGCGGCGAGAAAAAGGUGCGCACGCGCCGUGCACGGGGACGACGGGCCUCCCGGUGGGUCAAACGGCGGUGUUGUAGAGAGGCCUAGCGGGGAUCUCGAGGCAGCCGUGGGCGCUGAUCAAUGGAUAAAAAGCUUGUGUUUCCCUGCAAGGACAAGUCACCGCGUACCUUUACUUUUUUUUUUUUGCCUUUUCCGUUUCUUUGACCCGAAUUCGAAAUCGCCGGGACUGCAAAGGUGCCGAUUUCCAAAACCAGCACCGAGGUGUGUGAGACUGGCCGCAUACAUCAAUACGUACAUGGCGUUUUGGUACUGGGUGCAAUGCAUGAGACGUGGCAUUUUCUGGAACUGGAUAUGGAACUCUGCUCAUUAAAAAUACGAUUGAUAAGCAAAGGAGCCCCGUGAAAGGAGUGAUUUUCUUUUCUCUGACGAGUAAAAGAAGUGGUUGAUCUCUUUGGCAAUACGUGGGGGCAACUAGAUGACAAGAGGAAGAAGUGUGAUCGAUGAUGACACAUGGACGGUUGGUCCGGUAGAAACCUCAAUUUCCAAGUAUGCAUGAUGAGAUCAGCCUGGUCCAAGCUUGGACUCUCCCUCGACAGAUGGAUCAGUACCUUCUACCGACCCAACGACACAUGAU
rnacentral:lncRNA from 1 species